rnacentral:rRNA from 1 species
AUUGAACGCUGGCGGCAGGCCUAACACAUGCAAGUCGAACGAGUGGCGGACGGGUGAGUAAUGUCUGGGAAACUGCCCGAUGGAGGGGGAUAACUACUGGAAACGGUAGCUAAUACCGCAUACCAUCAGAUGUGCCCAGAUGGGCUUAGCUUGUUGGUGGGGUAACGGAUCACCAAGGCGACGAUCCCUAACUGGUCUGAGAGGAUGACCAGCCAAACUGGGACUGAGACACGGUCCAUACUCCUACGGGAGGCAGCAGUGGGGAAUUUUGCACAAUGGGGGCAAGCCUGAUCCAGCCAUGCCGCGUGUAUGAUGAAGGCCUUCGGGUUGUAAAGUACUUUCGGCGGGGAGGCGUUACCUGCAGAAUAAGCACCGGCUAACUCCGUGCCAGCAGCCGCGGUAAUUC